rnacentral:rRNA from 1 species
UACGUAGGGCGCGAGCGUUAUCCGGAAUUAUUGGGCGUAAAGAGCUCGUAGGCGGUCUGUCACGUCGGCUGUGAAAUCCCGAGGCUCAACCUCGGGUCUGCAGUCGAUACGGGCAAACUAGAGUAUUGCAGGGGAGACUGGAAUUCCUGGUGUAGCGGUGAAAUGCGCAGAUAUCAGGAGGAACACCGGUGGCGAAGGCGGGGUCUCUGGGCAAUAACUGACGCUGAGGAGCGAAAGCGUGGGGAGCGAACAGG